GGAACCCCAACCUGGUGCACGCGCAGAGCAUCCUCGCCGUGCUCGGCUUCCAGGUCAUCCUCAUGGGCCUCGUCGAGGGCUUCCGCAUCAACGGCCUCGACGGCGUCGGCGAGGGCAACAACCUCUACCCCGGCGGCCAGUACUUCGACCCCUUGGGCCUCGCCGACGACCCCGUCACCUUCGCCGAGCUCAAGGUCAAGGAGAUCAAGAACGGCCGCCUCGCCAUGUUCUCCAUGUUCGGAUUCUUCGUCCAGGCCAUCGUCACCGGCAAGGGGCCACUCGAGAACCUGCUCGACCAC
rnacentral:lncRNA from 1 species